rnacentral:misc_RNA from 1 species
UUCCUAGAAGUUCAACAAAAUGGGCCGCUUCAAGCCUCUCGCCGUGAAGAAGAAGUACGCAAAGAAGAUGAACCAGAACAAGCCGGUUCCCUACUGGAUUCGUCUGCGUACUGGCAACCGCAUCAAGUGGAACGAGAAGCGCCGCCAUUGGCGCCGCACGAAGCUGAACUACUAAGGUUUAUUACCUCCAGGAGCGAAUGUACUUUUAUUUUCAUUAGUUCGCGCCAUGUAAUUGGCUCUAUUUAAAACGAAGCAAAGCAAUUCUCUACCAAGGAAGCCUACAAAGCUUUCUAUUUUCGAAACACCUUUGCAGCUUUCCCACUUAUGGUAAAGCCGUCUCCUCCCACUGCGGUUGCAAUAAAGGAAAAUGACGUCUUUCGAGGAGAAAAAGGCAGAUGCGGCACAUUGCGUGCUUUUCGCCUACACCGGCCACGGCUUGCAUUCCGACUGCGUAGAAAGUAGCGGAAAAAUGUCCUUCAGGACUGUGUCUGUUGUUCUGCUCUCCAUUUUCGUAUCGCUAUAAAAUCCCUUUCUCUUGUUUCAAAACAG